rnacentral:lncRNA from 1 species
CUGUCUGUCAUUCUUCUGUCUAUCAUUCUUCUGUCUAUCAUUCUUCAGUCUAUCAUUCUUCUGUCUAUAUAUUAUUCUGUCUAUCAUUCUGCUGUCUGUCAUUCUUCUGUCUAUCAUUCUUCUGUCUAUCAUUCUUCAGUCUAUCAUUCUUCUGUCUAUAUAUUAUUCUGUCUAUCAUUCUGCUGUCUGUCAUUCUUCUGUCUAUCAUUCUUCUGUCUAUCAUUCUUCAGUCUAUCAUUCUUCUGUCUAUAUAUUAUUCUGUCUAUCAUUCUUCAGUCUAUCAUUCUUCUGUCUAUCAUUCUGCUGUCUAUAUAUUAUUCUGUCUAUCAUUCUUCAGUCUAUCAUUCUUCUGUCUAUCAUUCUUCAGUCUAUCAUUCUUCAGUCUAUCAUUCUUCAGUCUAUCAUUCUUCUGUCUAUCAUUCUUCUGUCUAUCAUUCUUCAGUCUAUCAUUCUUCUGUCUAUCAUU